AUAGCCUCUGUGUAGGUCGACACAGCUCUGUGUAGGUCGAUAUAGCCUCUGUGUAGGUCGAUGUAGCUCUGUGUAGGUUGAUGUAGCUCUGUGUAGGUCGAUAUAGCCUCUGUGUAGGUCGAUGUAGCUCUGUGUAGGUCGACAUACAGAGUUAUAUCGACUCUCAGCUCAUCUCAUAACCCUCAGCUCAUCUCAUAACCCUCAUCUCAUAACCCUCAGAUCAUGUCAUAACCCUCAGCUCAUCUCAUAACCCUCAUCUCAUAACCCUCAGCUCAUCUCAUAACCCUCGUCUCAUAACCCUCAGCUCAUCUCAUAACCCUCGUCUCAUAACCCUCAGCUCAUCUCAUAACCCUCAUGUCAUAACCCUCAGCUCAUCUCAUAACCCUCGUCUCAUAACCCUCAGCUCAUCUCAGAACCCUCGUCUCAUAACCCUCAGCUCAUCUCAGAACCCUCGUCUCAUAACCCUCAGCUCAUCUCAUAACCCUCAUCUCAUAACCCUAAUCUCAUAACCCUCGUCUCAUAACCCUCA
ensembl:lncRNA